CACUGUCCCCUUCCCCGGAGAAGGAGUGGCUUCCUUGGGUGCGGCUCUGGAAUAACUCAGUCCCAAGGAUUUAGGAGUCAGGACAGCGGCUUGUGUCCCGAGCUGCUUCUGAGCUGUGCGUGCGUGCGUGUGUGUGUGUGUGUGUGUGUGUGCGCGUGUGUGUGUGUGUGCGCGCGCGUGUGCAGAGUGCCUGGGCCUAUGGCGCUCAAGGGCAAGGGCGGCAGGGGCUGCGAGGCGUGAGGGCAGUCAGGUGGCCGAGACCCGCGGCCGUGCGGGCAGAGGUCCACGGACUGACGCGCUCUCACAAACUUUCCUUUGAUUGUUUUCCUCACGGUGGAGGUGUGCCCACUUUAAUAUACAGCCAUACAGCAAAAUCCCAGCCCCCAGAGAUCAGGUGCAAGGAAGACAGGAGCAGAAGACGACCUCCCGCCACGCAGCACCACCUUCCUCCCCAGGGGAAGCCAUGCAGUGGGGAGCACUGGCCUCUGGGCCAGCCCCUAGCCAUGCAAGUGCCUGGGAGGUGGGCAGCUGUUGCUUGGGAAGCUAUGUGGCAGAGAGCGCUGGCGCACACUGUCCCUAAAACCAACCACCACUGCACAGUCAAGAACUAUCAUGGCACAAAGAAGCAAUGACAAGAUUGGCCCGCCACAUGUCAGCAGUGGAGGUCUGCCCAGGGAUGUGCAUGAAUCAUCCCAACAUGGAGAAACCCCUGGGAAUACAUGCCACACAAAGGGUUGCUCUUGCCCCUGCUGUUGAGAACCAGAAAGGUCCAGAGUCAGUGGAGGAGCAGCUGCUGAACAAGGACUCGGAGAACAUGAGAAUACAGACUAAGCC
rnacentral:lncRNA from 1 species